rnacentral:lncRNA from 1 species
AAAUCUUAAUAAAAGAUUAAAAUAAAAACUUUAAUUAAAUUUUAAUCAAAACUUAGUCAAACUUAAAUCAAAUCUUAGUCAAAUCUUAGUCAAACUUUAAUCAAAUAUUAAUCAAAUCCUUAUCAAAUUCUAGUCAAAUUUUAAUCAAAUCCUAAUCAAAUCCUAAUCAAAUCCUAAAUAAAUUCCAACCAAAUCCUAAUCAAAUCCUAAUCAAAUCUUAAUCAAAUUCUAAACAAACCUUAUCCUAAACAAAUCUUAAGUCAAUCCAAAACCAUAAUCCUAAUUCUAAAUCAAAUCCUAAAUCAAACCCUAAUCAAUUCCAUGUUAUUUCUAUAGUAGAUUUAAACCUCAAUAAUUAAUGAACAAACCAUUGAUUUUAACUCAAAUUUUACACAAAUCUUAAUAAUUAAAUUGACAAUAAGUACAAAAAAAAUUUGAGAAGGGUCAAAAUUGCCAAAUAGAUGAUAACCUUAAAAAUGUGUUUAGGUGUCAGCGAGCCUCCUCUUUUGACCUUGAUGCCAAUCUUCCAAAGCUAAUUACUCUUAAUUGAACUAUUAAUUUUCUUCCAAACUUUACAAACUUAUUAGAAAUAAAGU